UCCGUGUUUUGCUGUGUCCAGCUGGCACACCCUCAGCAUGCUGAUUUAAUUUAAAAAAAUCACUACCCAUUGUAGAAGCCAGAUGUAGCUGAACAACAGAGUUUUGCUCAUAGUAUGGCUCUGGUGCCUGAGCUGUUCCACGGACCAUUACUGCAAAGAGUGCAGUCCUGUUUUCUAACUGCUUGAUCAACCUCUUUGCCUUUCUCUGGAUUCCUUCAACUAGUACAUAAAAAUCUGUAACUGCUGUGGGUAAAACAGGGCAUGCCAGCCCAGCUCAGGCUGUCUCCCUCUGAGGAUGGAAGAGCACUUGCUAAGGAUGCUGAAGAACCCCAACUAGGAAAAAAGGAGAGACUGGGAAGGGAGCCAUUUCUGGAAAAGUAUAUACCAGGCUUGAGCCUUAAAGAAAAUUGACUGCUUGAUCUUUGUGGAGGCUGAACUUGCUCUGUGCUGCCUUUUUGGACUGUGUGGAUCUUGGAUGUUGUGUGGAAGACAGCAAACUUUUCCUCUGCUCUUACUGAGCAUCCAAGCAGCGCUGCCUUGAAUGCUGCCAGUGAGGAGACACAGGGACUGCAAAGAAGUUCCUGGUGCCAGAGAAGGGAACAGAUCUGGUUCAGUGUGGUGGUUUGACCCUGGCUGAACACCAGGUGCUUACCAAAGCCAUUCUAUAUUUCCUCUCCUCAACUGGACAGAAGAGAGAAAAUACAAGAAAAGGCUCAUGGAUCAAAUUAAGGGCAGGGAGAGAUCACUCUCCAAUUAUUGU